rnacentral:rRNA from 1 species
UGCGUAGGCGGGCUAAUAAGUCAGUGGUGAAAUCUCUCGGCUCAACCGGGAAACUGCCAUUGAUACUGUUAGUCUUGAGUUCGGGUGAGGUAGGCGGAAUGUGUAAUGUAGCGGUGAAAUGCUUAGAUAUUACACAGAACACCAAUUGCGUAGGCAGCUUACUAGACCGACACUGACGCUGAGGCACGAAAGCGUGGGGAGCGAACAGGAUUAGAUACCCUGGUAGUCC